AGGAUAUCCACUUGGUGGAGAUACAAUCUCUGUGACAAAGGGUGUGGUAUCACGAAUUGAGGUUAGUAUGCUCAUGGAUCCUCUGAUCUGCUUGGUAUUCAGAUUGAUGCUGCAAUAAACCCUGGAAACAGUGGUGGUCCUGCCUUCAAUGAUCGUGGUGAGUGUAUUGGUGUGGCAUUCCAGGUAUUCCUUCUGCUAAAUCUGCCUUUUAUUUUCCCUACUUUAUCUAUUCCAAACUUUUCAAAAAUCUUUUAUAGAUUAACUUUGUCCCAGAAUAAUGU